rnacentral:rRNA from 1 species
UCCAGAAGUGGCUGCGCCAACCCGCAAGGAGGCAGGCCCCAAGGAGUGAACGGUAACUGGGGUG